GUGGGGAAUCUUAGACAAUGGGCGCAAGCCUGAUCUAGCCAUGCCGCGUGAGCGAUGAAGGCCUUAGGGUUGUAAAGCUCUUUCAGUGGGGAAGAUAAUGACUGUACCCACAGAAGAAGCCCCGGCUAACUCCGUGCCAGCAGCCGCGGUAAUACGGAGUGGGCUAGCGUUGUUCGGAAUUACUGGGCGUAAAGCGCACGUAGGCGGACUGGAAAGUCAGGGGUGAAAUCCCGGGGCUCAACCCCGGAACUGCCUUUGAAACUCCCAGUCUUGAGGUCGAGAGAGGUGAGUGGAAUUCCGAGUGUAGAGGUGAAAUUCGUAGAUAUUCGGAGGAACACCAGUGGCGAAGGCGGCUCACUGGCUCGAUACUGACGCUGAGGUGCGAAAGCGUGGGGAGCAAACAGGAUUAGAAACCCUUGUAGUCC
rnacentral:rRNA from 1 species